CACUGCUCUGAAGCGGCGUGGGAGCCAGUAUCUGAGUAAAUUAUGGUAGCGCUGAGACACACAGCGGGUGUGGUCACAUUUCCUUUUGAGCAAUCGCCCUGUGUGAGAUUAAUGUUAAUGAUCCCAUUUAACAAAACAAAUACAUAUACGUAAACCCACAGUUGGGGGAGGAGAAAAGAUCUUACGGGCGCUAUCCCAGAUGUUCGAGGAGACGUACUACCCUCAGUAGUAUCUAGCCAGCUAGAUUGAAACCAAGGCUGGUAACAUGGAGAGCUUCGAACGACGGAGUAAGGACUUUGGACUGUAUUCUGCAUAAGUUGUUUUGAAUGAGUUCUCAGUUGUGUUCCUAUCACCUUCUGUCGAUCAGAAUCUAUGGGUUCUGUGUAAUCUGGUCUGUGUAACUACUUGGAGUGACCCCUUCCUAAUGUGGAACAAGGUUUUCCUGGAGGCCAUCCUGAUCCUUGAGUCCUUAGCUUUUUGGAGUAUACACUGGACAUAAAGCACAAGAUCAUCUUGCUUCUCAAAGAUGGUGUGAAAACCAAUGACCUAAAAUUCAGAAAGGAUUUAAAUUCCCUGAGAAGAUAACUGUCCUUCCCCAGCUCCUGCAUGGUGAUGAGCAGCAAAGAAUAGUAACUCACCCUCCAAAGGAGUGCCCAUGUGAUCUAGACUUGGUAACUUAGCAGAGAUCUGGCUUUGGAAGUCCAAGGAGGCUUAACAGGAGAACGAGCAGACACGGGCCCCUGGGCUCUAAUAAUACCAACUUAUCGAGCAGGAAGCUUCCAUUGUUAUGUAGCCACAUAGAUGGCCCCUACCUCUCCCCACUAUGCAGAGCAUUACAGGAAUGCGGUCCCUCCCUAGUGGGACACCUCAUGCUUCGAGAAGUCCAGCACUGACUGACCCAGACACAUCUCUUGGUGGGAUGAUAGCUUGGGGAAUUGUAUGUGUUUUGUGACUUCUGGCCUGAAGGUUUUUCCACAAUUAACCAUACAGACCCGGAACUUGUGGUGUAGGUGUCCAUGGUGUUCAUGUCUCUUUUGCAAGGCAGCGAGCUUGGAACAAGUUUUUCUCAUGGGCAAUGGAGUCAUGACUAAUUCAGCCCACAAUAAUCAAAGCAGCCCUACUUAGCACUCCUGCAAUCAUAAACUCGAAUGCAAAUCCAAGCACUGAAAUUGCUUGACUUCAGUUUGAGAUGACCGUUGAGAUCAUCCAGAAUGGCACACAAAUAUAGCUCACAAAUAUAGCACACAAAUAUAGCUCAGAUUGUCAUCCUAUGAAAACGUGUGCAUAUGCCCACGUACAUGCAUAUACACACAAACCACACACACAAACUCCUUAAUGAGAGCUCAGAACCCAAAGACUAUAACUAUAAGCCUGGUUUGAGAAACCUUGUGGUGAUUGAAACAGAUCAUUCUGUACCUGGGGUUCUAAUGAAGAUACUGAGUCAUACUGACCCAAAUGUCAAGAUAAUGAUUGUCCAUGAACCGUAGCUUUUUUGUUUUUCUUAGCUCUUUCUAAAGUAUAAAAGCUCCAGUUUUAGAAUGUUUAGUUUAGGAGAAUCCUGGUCACAUUGAGCUAGAUGUAUUUCAGAAAUUGAGUUUAUGGGAUUGUAAAGUUACUUACAACUGGAGGCAGAUCCGGAUUAGGAAAACACAUCCUCUUUUAUUUUUCCCCCCCCAAAACAAGAAGACAAAGUUGUGUUUCUAAAAAAAGUCUUUGUGUUAUGAUUUUCAGAUCUUUAGCAUUGUUUCAGUGCCUUCGGCUUGGGGCAAGGAAUGCUUUCUAAGAAUAUACCACAGAUUUAAAGGGUUAUGCAAGACUGGCAGGAAGUUAAUAAUUUGGAGCUUUCCCUCUGAUGUGACCUUAAAGUCAAUUUGGGGGAUUCUAAGUUAGCAAAAGUGUGCCUUUAAUCCUAGCCUUACAUCUAAAGUUCAGUUAUUUGUGGUAGUGAGAUAUUUCAGAGUAUAGAAUUUACAGGAGUGGAAACCAUUAACUCAUUCGACCUUGGCCCCGUUCUCACUUGAGGAUAUUUCUGGAAGGAAACAGGUCAAUGUAGUAGCAGUAAAUGCAACUAGGAAUUAAAAGACUACAAUUCUAGCUCUGUUCUGUCACUCACAUGACCAUGGACAAGUUAGUUAAGCACUGUAAGUUGGUUAUUUCAAAGUGGGGAUGCAUGUGUCCUUGGGAUGACCCAUUGGGGUGAGGCAAGGCAAUAUCAGAAUCUCUACUUAUAUCUAUUUUCAUUAUAUCAUUUAAAAAUUUUAAUAUGUGUAUCAUGUUUUACAGAGUACAUUAAACUUUAAUAAGUAGUACAUGAAUAUGAUUAGGAUAUAUAUAUAUAUAUAUAUAUAUAAAUGGUAUAUAUAUAUAUACCAUUUUUAUUAAAAUGAUGAAAUAAAAAAUAUUCAGACUAUAAUCCUAGCCUCAGUUUCUUCCUCUGUAAAUUGAAGGCGUUGUUUUGGGGUUUAGAAGAAAUAAAUACACACAGACACAUACACAUUUAUCUAUAUGUAUUUAUAAAACACAUUGAUAUAUUCUGCUCUUUUAAAUUAGCAAGAGAAUUAUCGUACCUUCUCAAGGGUUCUGUGAUCAUAAGAAAAUAACACCACAUAGUUGAGAUUAAUUUAUGGUUCACCCCGAAGAUGGUUGUCUCUAGUAAAGCUGAUUUAGUUCAUGAUUUUGUAGCAGACAAGAAAUGUGAUGACUUUUAGAUGAAACUGUUGAUAUUAAAAUAAAACACAAAUGGAACAUCAAGUGUUUUCUCACUUGAGAUGCUAACAUGCAGUACUUCGUUCUUCAUUGAGCUAACCUUCCCGGGUUUCAUGUAUUUUGGGAAAAUGGUAUCUAAAUGAUAAAAAAAAUAUUGCCCUGUGGUUUUAGUUAAGUCCAGGCUUAAGGAAACAUAUUCAUCUCUUUUGUGUUUUUGAUAAAUUCUGGCUACUGAUGUAAUUCUAUGACUUCCUGCACUUGCAAAAUUUUAAAACUUGAUUUGAAAACCCUGGUGGCUCAGAUUUGCAUAUCUACCCCUGUCUACCUGGCCAGAGGCCCUUGUACAACAACCUAUUAAGAAAAAUAAAGUUGACUUACACCAAACAUCCAAUAAACUCUAGCUAGAUUAAAGAUUUAAAUGAGGCCAUAAAAGUACUAGUAUUUGAUGAUGUGAGAAUUUUGCACAUUCUUCAAAAAUGUUCUGACAAGUCUAAUAGAAAAAUGGGCAAAGUUUAAAACAGAGCAUUUUUCAAAGAAGCAAUAAUGAGCAAUAUUUUAUGAAAUAUGAAAGUUUUCAAUCUCAUUAGUAUUAUAGGAAUAAAAUUAAAACAAGAUGCCAUAUUUGCCUAUUGAAGUGGCCAAUUAAAAAAAAAAACAAAUAAACAAAAAACUAAAUUAUCCAAAGCUGGUAAGGAAGGGGAGUGAAAACCAUCUCAUAUACCUUAAGCAAAAGGGUCUUUGCUACAUUGUUAAUAUCCCCUGGUGAAAGCUUAGUCAAAUCUAUCAGAAAUUUUAUGAAUAUACCUUUGAUUCAGCUAUUUUACCUCUAAGAUGUCAUCUUAACCAAAACAUCGUAAGUGCACACAAAAAUUUAUCUACGAGUAUGUUCGUGCCAACAUUUUAAAUAAAAUUAGCUACCAUUCAUUCAGUGCUUACCAUGUGCCAAGUUAUGCUAAAACUUAUAUAUGUCAUCUCAUUUCAGCCUUGUAAAAACCUCAUGAGGCACUCUCAUUUCCAUUAUCAAGGGAGAACACUUCAGGCUUAGAGGUUGUGUGAGUGAGCCAGGAAUGCACAAGUAGUAAGUGUGCAAACCCAAGUCCUCAAUCUCCAGGGCCCCAUAUAACAACAAAAAGGAAGGAAAAAUAACAACCAAAACAGGGAGGUGGAUAAAUAAACCAUGGCAUAUCAAAUAAUGGAUGACUAUGAAGGCAUUUCCAAAUGGUAAUGCGAACAAAUAAUUGAGAACAUUGGAAAAAUGUUCAUAAUGUAUUAUGAAGUGAAAAAAAAGGUGAUACAAAAUAAUAUAUACUUUGUAAUCUUAGUGUUGAUAAAAUAUACAAUAAAGUGCUAAUAAGGUCUGCCUCCAGAUGUGGAUUUAUAUGAGAUUUUUGCUUUUUUUCAGUACACUUCUUUAUAUUUCACAUUUUCUACAAUUUUAUGUCUGGCUUUUAUAAUUAGAUGUACUGUUACUAAAAAUAAAAGGAAUGAAUCAGUAAUUAAAAUGAAAAAAGCAUUUAUGUCCCCAGACAUACUCUCGGGAUCCAUUCUAAAGUGGCAUUUAGUAAUGUAAAAAUGUGGAAUCCUGAAUUUCAAUAUCUUCAUAGAUAGCCUUUUCUCCGUAUUGGACUUGUGCCUCUUUGACUAAUAUUCAAAUCUUUCUUCAUUUCCUGUAAACGUAAUAAUUUUUUUCAUUAUUUAAGAACAUAUACAUAUACAUGCUAAAAUAAAAAAUUUGACAGAAUGGUGCAAAAUAAGGUAUGAAGUGUCUCUUCAAUCUCACGUCAGCACCUCCUGCCCUCAGAAGCAAACACCCCUGAUCCAUUCCGCGCUCAGUCCUCCUGGGGGUGACCGGCACAACCCAAAUAAUUUGGUCAUGUGUCUUUUAAACAAUGUACCACCUUCAGAUGGGUGAUAAU